rnacentral:rRNA from 1 species
CCUACGGGUGGCAGCAGUGAGGAAUAUUGGUCAAUGGGCGAGAGUCUGAACCAGCCAAGUAGCGUGAAGGAUGACUGCGCCAAGGGUUGUAAACUUCUUUUAUCAAGGAAUAAAGCGAGGCACGUGUGCCGUUGUGCAUGUACUUGAUGAAUAAGGAUCGGCUAACUCCGUGCCAGCAGCCGCGGUAAUACGGAGGAUCCGAGCGUUAUCCGGAUUUAUUGGGUUUAAAGGGUGCGUAGAUGGGUUGGUAAGUCAGCCGUGAAAGUUCGGGGCUCAACCGUAAACUAGCAAUUGAUACUGGCAGUCUAGAGUCGGGGUGAGGUAGGCGGAAUUCGCGGUGUAGCGGUGAAAUGCUUAGAUAUCGCGCAGAACUCCGAUUGCGAAGGCAGCUUACUAA